GAUGAACGCUGGCGGCGUGCCUAAUACAUGCAAGUCGAACGAACAGACGAGUAGGGUGCGCCUCAGACGUUAGCGGCGGGCGGGUGAUGAACACGUGGAGAACCUACGUAGAAGACUGGGGUGAGUUAGGUAAGCCAGAACUAAUUCCGGGUGAUGUAGUGAAGCUCUUGGUUAAAAAUUCAAUGACGGAUGUUCUGCCACUAAUAGAUUGGUUCGCGCCGCGUCAGAUAGAUGGUAAGGUAACGGCUUAGCAAGUGAACGGUGCGUAGCAGACCUGAGAGGAUGAUCGGCCACACUGGAGCUGAGACACGGUCCAGACACCUACGGGAGGCAGCAGUCGGACUUCUUCCGCAAUGGGCGAAAGCCUGACGGAGCAACGCCGCGUGAGUGAUGCGGGUCUUCGGAUCGUAAACCUCUGUUCUUAGGGAAGAACAAAUUUGUAAGUAACUAUGCACGUCUUGACGGUACCUACUGAGAAAGCAACGGCUAACUACGUG
rnacentral:rRNA from 1 species